GUCCGCAGGUCGUAAAAGGGCUGUAGUUCCCCAUCCCUGCUUUAAAACAAGCCGAGAGGGAGGGGCUCAUAUUGCUGAGUUAACUCAAAUUAAACCAUCAGCUGUUUUUGCAGAACCUGGUGAAGAACCGUGAUUUAGUCAAUCAGUCCCAUUUUCUGGCGUUGUACCAGGGGUGAAAUCCAGCAGGUUCUGACAGGUUCUGGAGAACCGGUAGUGGAAAUUUUGAGCACUUCCGAGAACUGGCAAAUACCACCUCUGGCUGUCCACAGAGUGGGGUGGGAAUGGAGAUUUUGCAGUAUCCUUCCCCUGCCAGGCCCACCAAACCACGCCCACAGAACUGGUAGUAAAAAAAAAUUGGAUUUCACCACUGGACUGACACUAUCAGAAAGGUCUAAGAGUAUAGUAUACUACACACUAUAGUAGCUGUGAUAGGCAGUAGAAGUUGACGGAAAAUAAAAUACUACAGAUGAAAGGUUCUGGUGACUCUUUAUCGGGAUUGACUGUGUUCAAUGAUGGAUCUAGCCCAAUAACUCACAGACAAAUUCUUUUUCUCAAGGGGAUUCCUUUAUUGCAGGCCUAGAUGAAUCCUAGGCCCUAUGGCACCAGAGGUCACUGACCUUAGACCUUUCUCUUUCAGGUAUACAUCUGGAACAACUGGAGUACCUCGUGGUGAGAGCUAUUAUACCCAGGAGGAGGGGCCAGGAGGUUCGGUAUCCUAAUUGGAACUCCUACCUCACUGUUUUGGGAAUCCUGAAGCAUGACAAGGACAUGACUGUUGAUUGAACACUCUGGUCCUCUCGCAACUUGAUCUGCCGCUUUCAGAAAGUAGAGAUGCAUCUGGCAACAGGGUAGAAGGCAACUUCCAUCAUGCCUCCCAGCAGAUGUACUAGAAACCACAAACAAGUCAAUUCCUGCACAUUCCCCCUUUCCUCAAUAUGAUAUAUCCUACACAGGGACUUACCUCUCCAGAUGUCACUGAGCUGCUGCUCAUAGCGUCCCUCAUCCUUGGUUAGGAUGGCUGAAUUGGCUGUGUUGCAAUUAAGCAACGUCUGGAAAACUACCAGCUCCCUAUCUAUGCAUACAACCUGCUAGUUAUUGCAGGGAUUAUAUAUUCACAUAGGUACUAUUAAUGCAAACAAAUCCUAUGCAGGUCAUCCUUACGACCGCUGUUGGGAUCAGAAGUUAUGUGGCUAAACAAGGUAUUAAAGCAUAGGGCCUAGCUAUCUUCGAGACCGCCUGCUGCUACCGACGACCUCCCAUCGACCCGUGCGCUCCCACAGAGAGGGCCUCCUCGGGGUGCCAUCAGCCAAACAAUGUAGGCUGGUGAUCCCCAGGGGGAGGGCCUUCUCUGUGGGGGCACCUACCCUCUGGAAUCAGUUGCCCCCAGAGAUAAGGAGAAUCCAUGACCUUAGUGCCUUCCGCCGUGCCCUUAAAACUCACUUUUUUCAGCAAGCCGGGCUGGCUUAAGAAUAAAUUUUUAAAUGUUUUUAAUUGGUUUGUGAUUUUUAAUUUUUGGGCCAAAUUUAUACAUAUUUUAACUGUUUUUUAAUAUUUGUAUUUUAUGUUCU